rnacentral:rRNA from 1 species
CCUACGGGAGGCUGCAGUGGGGAAUAUUGGACAAUGGGCGAAAGCCUGAUCCAGCCAUGCCGCGUGUGUGAAGAAGGCCUUCGGGUUGUAAAGCACUUUCAGUGGGGAAGAAAGCCUUGGGGCUAAUACCCUCGAGGUAGGACAUCACCCACAGAAGAAGCACCGGCUAACUCCGUGCCAGCAGCCGCGGUAAUACGGAGGGUGCGAGCGUUAAUCGGAAUUACUGGGCGUAAAGCGCGCGUAGGCGGUCUGAUAAGCCGGUUGUGAAAGCCCCGGGCUCAACCUGGGAACGGCAUCCGGAACUGUCAGGCUAGAGUGCAGGAGAGGAAGGUAGAAUUCCCGGUGUAGCGGUGAAAUGCGUAGAGAUCGGGAGGAAUACCAGUGGCGAAGGCGGCCUUCUGGACUGACACUGACGCUGAGGUGCGAAAGCGUGGGUAGCAAACAGGAUUAGAUACCCUGUAGUC